CUUCCAGCUAAGCUAGCAGAGGGCGGUUACAUGACAUAUGAGCAGGGUGGCAACUACUGUCAACUCCCAGCGCCUGGCAUCUAUUUAUUACAGUCAAUUUGGAAAUAGCUGCCCGCAAGGGAACUGCUGGCCAAAUCCCUAAAGAACAUGCUCAAGCCGAAAACACCAGUGUCUCAGGCAGCCACAGCUUGAGGACACAGAUGUUUAAAAAAAGACCUUUUUGUUUGCAUCACCUCGAAGCACAGCAGAAGGCCAGGUCUGCACAGGCCAGGCAGCCAGUGAGGGGACCAGGUGCUGUGGCGCCGGCAGGAGAAUCUGCUCAAGAAUUGAAAGCACAGAGCAGAUAGUGGAAAUAAUUCAGGGGUGACUGAGUCAGAAAGGUGGUACAGAUUUCAUUUUUUAAAAACUUUAUGGCCGGGCGCGGUGGCUCACGCCUGUAAUCCCAGCACUUUGGGAGGCCGAAGCUGGCGGAUCAUGAGGUCAAGAGAUCGAGACCAUCCUGGCUAACAUGGUGAAACCCCAUCUCUACUAAAAAUAUAAAAAAUUAGCCGGGCAUAGUGGCAGGCGUCUGUAGUCCCAGCUGGCUGAGGCAGGAGAAUGGCAAGAACCCGGGAGGCGGAGGUUGCAGUGAGCCAAGAUCACGCCACUGCACUCCAGCCUAGGUGACAGAGCGAGACUCCAUCUCAAAAAAUAAAAAUAAAAAUAAAAAUAAAUAAAAACUUUAUGUUGAAAUAAUUUUAGGCUUGCCAAGAUAGUGCCAUGAUCCCUAGACCCUUCACCCAGUUUCCCUAAUGUGAACAUCUUACACAACUGUGAUACACUGAGCAAAACUCAGAAAUUUUGUUUUGAGAUAGGAUCUCACUCUGUCACCCAGGCUGGAGUGCAGUGGCACGAUCACGGCUCACUACGGCCUCAACCUCCCAGGCUCAAGUGAUCCUCUGGCCUCAGCCUCCUGACUAGCUGAGACCACAGGCAUGCUCCACCAUGUCCAGCUAAUUUUAAAAAAAUGUUUUGUAGAGACGGGGUCUCCCUAUGUUGCCCAGGCAGAUUUUGAACUCCUGGGCUCAAGUGAUCCUCCCAGCUCGGCUGCCCAAAGUGCUGGGAUUACAGGUGUAAGCCACUGCGCACCGCCCAAAACUCAGAAAUUAAUAUUGGUGCAACACUGUUAACUAAACCACAGACUUUAGCUGGAUUUCACCAGUUUUUCCACUGAUGUCCUUUUUCUGUUUCAGGAACGGAUCCAGGUGUCCACACUGCAUUUAGUUGUCAUGGUUCCGUCUCUUCUGGUCUGUGAGAGUUUCUCCAUCUUUCCUUGUCUGUCAUGACUUUGACAUUUUUUGAAGAGUGCCGGUCAGGUGUUUGGUACAGAUUUGUAGUAUUUGUGGAAAUCUGCUGGAAUGAGUACCCUUGGCCUACGAGGCAGAGUCGGGGGUGGUGAGCUACACCCUGUGGGACAAAUCUAGGCUGCUGCCUGUGUUUGCAGGUCUCCGAGCUAAGAAUGGGUUUCACAUUUUUAAAUGGUUGAAAAAAAAACAAAAGACAAAUAAUAGUCCAUGAUAUGUGGAAAUUAUCAUGAAAUCCAAAUGUCAGUGUCCAUAGGUGAAGUGGGGCUGGGAGGCAGCCACGGGCAUUCUUUUCUGUGUUGUCCCUGGGGGCUUUUGCACUACAAUGGCAGGAUUGGGAAGUCACUACGGAGGCCCUUUGGCCCCAAGAGCCUCAAUAUUUACUCCCUGGCCCUUGACAGGGGAGGUUUGCCCAGCCUGAUGAGGGCCCUAUAAGGACCUGCCAUUGGCCUUCAUUCCAAAGCUAAGUCAGCUAUGAAAAGAGCAUGGAGUGGCUAGGCACAGUGGCUCACGCCUGUAAUCUCAACACUUUGGGAGGCCGAGGUGGGUGGAUCACCUGAGGUCAGGAGUUUGAGACCAGCCUGGCCAACAUGGUGAAACCCCAUCUCUACUAAAAAUACAAAAAUUAGCCAGGUGUGGUGCCGCAGGCCUGUAAUCCCAGCCACUUGGAAGGCUGAGGCAGGAGAAUCACUUGAACCUGGGAGGCGGAGGUUGCAAUGAGCCGAGAUUGUGCCACUGCACUGCAGCCUGGGUGACAGAGCGGCAAAAAAAAAAAAAAAGAAAAGAGCAGGGAGGCUUCAAAUUCAUUCAUUCCAUCAUUCCACAAAUACUUGUUGAGAGCUCAUCGUCAAAACUAGGAGAGACCCCUAUUUGAGCAAACGCUAACUCUUGCUCAAACUCUGGGUUUGGGAGAGGUUAAUUUGCACCAAAUGUCUUCCUGAUUCUCGGGCACAGUUUCUGCUGUGAUAAUAAUAGCUGCUGUCAUAUUUGGAGCUCUACCCUGUGCCAAUAACGCUUUACUUGCACCAUCUCUUCUCAUCCGCACCACCACCGCAGGAGUUGCUCCGGGAGGAAACUGAGGUCUAAGAGCUUAGCCACACCCAAGGGCGCACAGGUGGCUAGAAAGUUGCAGAAGCUGAACAGGAGCGCGGCAAGUCCAUGGGCUCCCAGCGCAGACGCUGUGCGUGCGAGGCCCUCACCUGCAGGUGGGACCGGGUCUGGAGCAGAGAGCUGGCGCCGGGGAGGCUCUUGGUGGUUCCUGAUCCAGAACUCACAAACCGGGAUGUAAGAGUCAGCCGGCCACAAGCCCCGUGUGAAACGCACAGGAAUCUUUCUGCAAAGGAGCAUCACAGUGUUUUUGGUGUUCAGCAUUUAGUCCCUAAGUGUGAUGCAUGAGCAAGCUCCGCGACGCUGUCUUCUUUGCCAUCCCUUCCUGUUGUCGCUGCCUUGCCACCCUACUGCUGGAAGCCUGAGCUCUCUGCACUGUAUCCUCUUUCCUGCUGAUGGGACCGGGCCACUGGGUCCUCCCUUUUCUCAUCUUUGAGGCCAACAGGCUGGGCCUGCCCUGAUGAGAGGUGAAGAGGCCCUCCUGGAGCUGAAAGGGGCAAUUGGCUGUGCCCUGCUUUUGUCAAGGAAGUUGGGAGACAACAAAACCCAAGCACCUUGGCCAGGGCGGUGGCUCACAUCUGUAAUCCCAGAACUUUGGGAGGCCAAGGCAGGUGGAUCACCUGAGGUCAGGAGUUCGAGACCAGCCUGGCCAACGCGGUGAAAUCCCAUCUCUACUGAAAAUAGAAAAAUUAGCCAGGCAUGGUGGUGUGUGCCUGUAAUCCCAGCUGUAUCCUGGGAGGCUGAGGCAGGAGAAUCACUUGAACCUGGGACAUAAUCUGAGUUAUCUCAGAUGCUAGUUUCUCUGGUGAAGGUUGCAGUGAGCCGAGACUGCACCACUGCACUCCAGCCUGUGCGACAGAGCGAGACUCUGUCUCAAAAAAAAAAAAAAAAAAAAAAAUUAGCCAGGCAUGGUGGCUGGUGGCACAUGCCUGUAAUCCCAGCUACUUAGGAGGCUGAGGCACAAAAAUUGCUUGAACCCAAGAGGCGGAGGUUGCAGUGAGCUGAGAUCGCACCACUGCACUCCAGCCUGGGUGGCAGAGCCAGACUCCAUCUCAAAAACGAAAAACCAAACAACCCACAAACACCUGCAGAAAGAGGUUCCCAGCUCUCUAAAAUCCUGAUCCUGCCUCAUGCACCCUAAAGCCCCAGAUGGUUCCUAGCUCAAGUGAAGAAGUGAUGUGGGCCGGGCACCGUGGCUCACAUCUGGGAUCCCAGCACUUUGGGAGGCCAAGUUGGGUGGAUCAUUUGAGGUCAGGAGUUCAAGACCAGCCUGGCCAACAUGGUGAAACCCCAUCUCUACUAAAAAUACAAAAAUUAGCUGGGCGUGGGGGCGGGCACCUGUAGUCCCAGGUACUCGGGAGGCUGAGGUGGGAGAAUCACUUGAACUUGGGAGGCAGAGGCUGCAGUGAGCCGAGAUCGCGCCAUUGCACUCCAGCCAGAGGGAGAUUUCAUCUCAAAAAAAAAAAAAAGAGAAAAAAAAGAAAAAAAAAUCCAACAACAACAAAAAACUUGCACACGAAUGUUCACAGCAGCCUUAUCCAUAAUAGCCAAGAAAAUGGGAAAACGUAAAUGUCCAUCUGUUCGUGAAUGGAUACAUAAAAUGUGGCAUAUCUACAUGAACGAAUAGAAUGUUACUCAAUCAUAAAGAAAAGAAUGAAGGACUGAGACAAGCUACAACCUGGAUGAACCUGGAAAACAUGAUGCUGAGUGAGUGAAAGAAGCUG
rnacentral:lncRNA from 10 species